UUCGCUCAUGCGGGAGAGAUCGGAUUCUUCCCCGACGCCGAAGGCGCAACCGCCCCGGAAACGCUCAGGCAAACGGACCGCAUCGAGCCA
rnacentral:ncRNA from 2 species